UAGGGAAUCUUCCACAAUGGACGCAAGUCUGAUGGAGCAACGCCGCGUGAGUGAAGAAGGGUUUCGGCUCGUAAAGCUCUGUUGUUAAAGAAGAACGUGGGUAAGAGUAACUGUUUACCCAGUGACGGUAUUUAACCAGAAAGCCACGGCUAACUACGUGCCGG
rnacentral:rRNA from 1 species